rnacentral:rRNA from 1 species
UACGUAGGUGGCAAGCGUUGUCCGGAUUUACUGGGCGUAAAGAGCGCGCAGGCGGUCGUUCAAGUCGCGUGUGAAAGCCCCCGGCUCAACUGGGGAGGGUCACGCGAUACUGAUCGACUCGAAGGCAGGAGAGGGUAGUGGAAUUCCCGGUGUAGUGGUGAAAUGCGUAGAUAUCGGGAGGAACACCAGUGGCGAAGGCGGCUCACUGGACUGGUAUUGACGCUGAGGUGCGAAAGCGUGGGGAGCAAACAGG